rnacentral:rRNA from 1 species
GACGAACGCUGGCGGCGUGCCUAAUACAUGCAAGUUGAGCGCUGAAGGUUGGUACUUGUACCAACUGGAUGAGCAGCGAACGGGUGAGUAACGCGUGGGGAAUCUGCCUUUGAGCGGGGGACAACAUUUGGAAACGAAUGCUAAUACCGCAUAAAAACUUUAAACACAAGUUUUAAGUUUGAAAGAUGCAAUUGCAUCACUCAAAGAUGAUCCCGCGUUGUAUUAGCUAGUUGGUGAGGUAAAGGCUCACCAAGGCGAUGAUACAUAGCCGACCUGAGAGGGUGAUCGGCCACAUUGGGACUGAGACACGGCCCAAACUCCUACGGGAGGCAGCAGUAGGGAAUCUUCGGCAAUGGACGAAAGUCUGACCGAGCAACGCCGCGUGAGUGAAGAAGGUUUUCGGAUCGUAAAACUCUGUUGGUAGAGAAGAACGUUGGUGAGAGUGGAAAGCUCAUCAAGUGACGGUAACUACCCAGAAAGGGACGGCUACUACGU